rnacentral:lncRNA from 10 species
GUCUGGUCUUUGCCCCUCACUUAGGAACUUUGAUUCAUUACAUUCUGGUUCCUCAGCAAUAAUUUCCAACAGUAGCACCUAGUGAAGUGUCAAUCAAUUUAGCCUGCCAGUCUUUUCUUUCUUUUUUCUUUUUUUUAGAGACAGGGUCUCACUAUGUUGCCCAGGCUGGUCUUAAACUCCUGGGCUCAAGUGAUCCACCUGCCUUGGCCUCCCAAAGUGCUGAAGUUAUAGGCGUGAGCCCGACAUGCCUGCUGCCUGCCAGUCUUGAGUAUUCUCUAUCCUCCUCAAUUACUCAGAUCCUAAGGAAAGGUAGAAAGCUGACCUGACAGAACAAAGUUCUUCCUCCUUAAGCUGUGGGGACUUGGAGGCUGUGAGUUCAUCCGUGAAACAAGGCCCUAGUGCAGCAAGGGACAGCUGGAAGCAGGUGUCUGGCCUUGGGGGAGCCAAAGCAGGUGGUGGGGACCUACAGGGACCCAGGGGAGGGCUCCAUAAGAGCUUCCAGCAGGGCCUGAGGGGGCAGGUGGGGUCCUCGAUGUGGGCCAGUUGCCUAGGGAGGAGGUGCACCCAUAAGGAAGCGUGUCCCUCUGGAAGCACAGCUCCCGUGUUGCCGGUGGGUGUGGGCGUGGCCAUGAGGAUGGCAGAGGUGAGCUGGGCAGGGAGAGGAUGCGUGUGCUUGACCCAACUGCCAAGGAACUGGCGUUUCUCUUUCACGGAAGCUGUGACGGCUCUUCGUUCCCUACUGGAUCCAGUUCUGCCUUCUUAUUCUGACUCCGGGUCCCUCCAUCAUCCGGCUCCGGGUGUGAUUACCCAUGCCACAGGGCUGCUACACGACUGAGUUCAUAUCUAUAAAGGGCUCGGAACAGUGCUUGCCAAUGAGCCACACUGUGUCGCACAACCCGAAGCAACACAUAAAUCAAAUAAGCCAAUAACUGGCACUGUGGAACACAGGCAUUCACCGCCGCCAGAACACACUCAGUUUUCCUGCCUUUGCUCCUCGGCCCCCUCCUGCCCCACAGGCUUCUCAAGUCCUGAUCCCUCCUAUGGGGUGCAGCUCACUCUGCCCUGAGUCCUUCCCAAACUGCCUCCUCUCUCCCGUUUCCGAGCUGCCUGGUGUGUGGCCGAUGUGGUACAUCUGGCGCUGAGUUCUGCCCACCAGGACAGACGACGGGAGAGCCGGGCCUGGACUCUCCCUGAGUUCCGGGCAGGUUUCCUCUGGUCUUGCUUCUCUCCAGCUUGAAGUUGUUGCUUCCUGUUUCCCAGAGUCCUUGGCUUUUCUGACCCAUUUCUUUUCCUGGGCUGACAAAGUUUACUACUGUCUUCUUCAGCACUGUUUGUCAUUUCAUGAGACAGCAAGUGAAGGCAGUUAAAGCCCAGGGCCACCAACUUUGCUGCCCUUUCUCCUUGACACCAACAGAGACUGACAGGGACCAGCACGGGACCAACAUGGGACCAGCAGAGGAUCAACGCAGGAUCAACACAGAACCAACAUAGGACCAAUACAGGGUCAACACAGGACCGACAUGGGACCAACACAGGGUCAACACAGGACCAACACGGGACCAACACAGGACCAACAUAGGACCAACACAGGGUCAACACAGGACCGACAUGGGACCAACACAGGGUCAACACAGGACCAACACGGGACCAACACAGGGUCAACACAGGACCAACACAGGACCAACAUAGGACCAACACAGGGUCAACACAGGACCAACAUGGGACCAACACAGGGUCAACACAGGACCAACAUGGGACCAACACAG